CCUACGGGUGGCAGCAGUGGGGAAUAUUGCACAAUGGGGGAAACCCUGAUGCAGCGACGCCGCGUGAGUGAAGAAGUAUUUCGGUAUGUAAAGCUCUAUCAGCAGGGAAGAAGCAAGACGGUACCUGACUAAGAAGCCCCGGCUAACUACGUGCCAGCAGCCGCGGUAAUACGUAGGGGGCGAGCGUUAUCCGGAUUCAUUGGGCGUAAAGCGCGCGUAGGCGGUGCGUCAAGCGGGACCUCUAACCCCGGGGCUCAACCCCGGGCCGGGUCCCGGACUGGCGCGCUCGAGUGCGGUAGAGGCGAGUGGAAUUCCCGGUGUAGCGGUGGAAUGCGCAGAUAUCGGGAAGAACACCGAUGGCGAAGGCAGCUCGCUGGGCCGACACUGACGCUGAGGCGCGAAAGCUGGGGGAGCGAACAGGAUUAGAUACCCUGGUAGUC
rnacentral:rRNA from 1 species